UCUAAUAUGGCAGAAUAGUGCGAUGGAUUUAAGUUCCAUAUAUAAAGUCCAGCUUUUUUUAGAA
rnacentral:tRNA from 1 species